UGAGGCACCUAUCAUUGUAUCCACAGU
rnacentral:piRNA from 1 species